AUCCUGGCUCAGGAUGAACGCUAGCUACAGGCUUAACACAUGCAAGUCGAGGGGAAACGAUAUUGGAAGCUUGCUUCUGAUAGGCGUCGACCGGCGCACGGGUGAGUAACGCGUAUCCAACCUGCCCAUCACUUGGGGAUAACCUUGCGAAAGUAAGACUAAUACCCAAUGACGUCUCUAGAAGACAUCUGAAAGAGAUUAAAGAUUUAUCGGUGAUGGAUGGGGAUGCGUCUGAUUAGCUUGUUGGCGGGGUAACGGCCCACCAAGGCGACGAUCAGUAGGGGGUUCUGAGAGGGAGGUCCCCCACAUUGGAACUGAGACACGGUCCAAACUCCUACGGGAGGCAGCAGUGAGGAAUAUUGGUCAAUGGACGAGAGUCUGAACCAGCCAAGUAGCGUGCAGGAUGACGGCCCUAUGGGUUGUAAACUGCUUUUAUAAGGGAAUAAAGUGGGAGUCGUGACUCUUUUGCAUGUACCUUAUGAAUAAGGACCGGCUAAUUCCGUG
rnacentral:rRNA from 1 species